UUUAUUUUAACAGCUUUAGUUCAAACAUAGUUUUUCAAAUGCAACAUCAGAGAUAUAUGACAACUCAGACAAAAAAUGACAAUAUUGGAGAGAGGGGAAUCCUAUUAGGCAAUUUUUUAAAAAAAGAUAUCGUUUAUGCCUACAUGAAACUUGCGUAUUAGAAAAAAAAUGAAGAGGUAUAGGAGGUCUCUCAAAUCCUUCAUCAACAUAUCCUUAAAGAAAUUUGACUUUAACAAAAAUUAAGUUAUAAAAUAGAAUAUACAUCACUGGUUGGAAUUACAAUAGAACAAUUUCUGAACAAACAAAGGAGGGCAUCCACUAACAUCUUUUUUAAAUUUAAAAACUUACAAAAUAAAUUAUGUAUGCCUGCAGUAGCAGGCUUGCUAAAUUAAAAAAAAAAAAGAAUAAAACUGAGAAUAAAUGAAGAAGUUGAUUAAUAUGCUUUGGGUGGAGCGUGAAUAAGGCAGGCAGAAUUCACAGUAGGUUUACACAUCUGCAAAGAUUUUUUUUCUAUUUCUCUGCCUUUCCACCUGUCCCUUUAAUUCUCCGGAUUCUCCAUCUUUACUGUAUAAGAUGGCUUCUUGUUCGUGUGAUGUAGUACGCUCUUUGGGCUGUCUACACGAUGGUUCCAAGUUUGUACUAUCUCAUGUACAGGAGAUUUGGUCGAGAGCAGUGUUUCCCAAACUGUGUUCCGCGGAACCCAGGUGUUCCCGAGGCCUAAAUAGGUGUUCCCCGAACUGUUGGAAUAAAUAACUAGAAGGCCACCACGUGAUCUCCCUAGAAAAUAAGCAAAGUGUUCCGCUAUAUACUCAGAAUGUGCGAAGUGUUCCGUUAAGGAAACUGUUUGGGAAUCCCUGGUCUUGGUGUAAUUCUUUUUCUGAAGGAGUUUCUGAAACGUUCAUUAUUAAAUAUACCUCUCUCUCUUUCUCUCUAUCUCUCUUUCUUUCACUCUCUCGUUCUUUCUCUCUCUUCCUCUUUCUUUCACUCUCUCGUUCUGUCUC